UGCAGUCGAACGGCAGCACGGGAGCAAUCCUGGUGGCGAGUGGCGAACGGGUGAGUAAUAUAUCGGAACGUGCCCAGUCGUGGGGGAUAACGUAGCGAAAGUUACGCUAAUACCGCAUACGAUCUACGGAUGAAAGCGGGGGAUCGCAAGACCUCGCGCGAUUGGAGCGGCCGAUAUCAGAUUAGCUUGUUGGUGGGGUAAAAGCCCACCAAGGCGACGAUCUGUAGCUGGUCUGAGAGGACGACCAGCCACACUGGGACUGAGACACGGCCCAGACUCCUACGGGAGGCAGCAGUGGGGAAUUUUGGACAAUGGGCGCAAGCCUGAUCCAGCAAUGCCGCGUGCAGGAUGAAGGCCUUCGGGUUGUAAACUGCUUUUGUACGGAACGAAACGGUCCUUUCUAAUACAAGGGGCUAAUGACGGUACCGUAAGAAUAAGCACCGGCUAACUACGUGCCAGCAGCCGCGGUAAUACGUAGGGUGCGAGCGUUAAUCGGAAUUACUGGGCGUAAAGCGUGCGCAGGCGGUUUUGUAAGACAGAUGUGAAAUCCCCGGGCUUAACCUGGGACCUGCAUUUGUGACUGCAAGGCUGGAGUACGGUAGAGGGGGAUGGAAUUCCGCGUGUAGCAGUGAAAUGCGUAGAUAUGCGGA
rnacentral:rRNA from 1 species